CGGUCCUUUUAAUGUAAUCUUUACAAAUACCCAUACAAAUGUGACCAUGGUUCAUUUACAUGCUCAAAAGAGAACGUUUUUGCGACAACGGCACGCCCGUCUAGCUUCGCGUCAUCGACGGGUGGCGGAGCCGCUUACCACGCCUCUCAUCUCUACAUCGGACGCACAUGCUACACUCGUGGAUGUACGGAUCAAUGAGGUUGCACGGAGUGCGCACAGCUGUGUGGUUAUUUUUCUGGCGACAACCUAACGCAUAACUACAGUGUACUAGAACCAUAUUCUAGUAUACCGUAUUCUAGCACGAAAUUGGACGAGCACCUCACUCUUCUACAUCAACGUUUUUUUGCAACAGCGCCGCCGCCGCGAACAGCACAGCUUCUCGUCGGAAAUCACGCUCGGCUAGGUAGCGUACAAUCUUUAUUCCAUGGCGUACAGCUCUCAAUUACUUUCCUCGAGGCGUCACGAACAGCAAAGUUCCAAGUGCUUUUCCAAGGGCGGUGUUGCGCAUUCUGCAUUGAAUGAGCUGACGAGAUCACAUGCCAAGUUUGGUGACUUGCAUCCACCAGCUUGGCAUUUAUUAUAGACACAGAAGCACUGCUGUCUACCAAUGCCAUUACAUGACUGUUUCCCACUUUGACAGGAACUUGAAGUAGGCUACAGCAAGCGAAAUAAAGUCUCAGUUGCAGUCAUCAGGUUGGACUCAUCACCCUUGUUUAUUAGUUUCUUUUGUCGCCAAAAACUCUUGAGCAUCAUUGUCAACAUCAUUCACCUGACCUGGGGGAGUGAGCAAGUUCUCUGCUCCUUGCAAAGUGGCUCAGUUCUCGCUGAUUACAGCAUGACCAAUCUGUGUCGGUCCGUACAAAGUGACUGCUUGAGUUAGUAGUUAUUUUUUUUUUCUGAUUAGGUGACAUGUCUUGAAGGCACUCCAGGAACCUGUUGAGGUGAUCAUAUGGGCCUUUGGAUAGAACAUGAAGAUGCACAAGAGCCUGGGGAGGGGAGAAAAGGAGGAUGAAGUUGGAAUAAAGGUAUGCGUGCUCUCUCAUAGCCGAAGAAGUGUUGCCAGUUUCAGUACAAUAAACUCGCUGCACACAGUC